CGGCAACAGCUCAAAUUUGAAAUCUGGCCUCCUUUGGUGGUCUGAGUUGUAAUUUGCAGAGGGUGCUUUGGUGUUGUCAGCGGCCCAAGUUCCUUGGAACAGGACAUCGCAGAGGGUGAGAAUCCCGUCUAUGGUCGCCUGCCCUCACCGUGUAAAGCCCCUUCGAC
rnacentral:rRNA from 1 species